UACCUGUCCAUCUACCCCAGGGUGUGGCUACAGCAUAAAUUCAGACAGAGUAGAGAGUUUCUUCAGAGGUGAACUUGUCAAGGCAACAGUUUCAGUGCUAUCACAUCACUCCUGAGAACAAUGUCAGACACAAAACCAAUGCGGUGAAAGCAAACAAUGCCACGGUGAAGGCAAGGAAAAAGGGAAAGGCCAGGAGCAUGGGCAUGGACAUGGACCAGAUCAGUGCCAGGGCAAGGGGAAAGAACAUGGAAAAGAACAUGGCCAUGGUCACGGUCACGGACAUUGUCAUGGUGGAAAAGAUGGCGCAAAGAAAUAAAACGAGGGCCCGCACUAACAACAAUGCUGAAUGAAGAGAUAUCUAAGACUGAUUAUCUUUCUUUUGUGCAAAAAUCAAUAAUAAAUUAAAAUGUGUGUGACCAGCCAUAUAUAUUUGCAUUAAAUUCACUGAUGACCAAUGAAAUGUUGGUAAUAAAGAAUAUCUUCUAGAA